GCUCAUGCAUGGGGCGCAGUGGUGCAUGCCUGUAGUCUCAGCAACUUGGGAGGCUGAGGCAGAAGGAUUGCUUGAGACCAAGAGUUCUAGGCUAUAGUGUACUAUGCUGAUCAGGUGUAUGUGCUAAGCUCGGCAUCAGUAUGGUGACCUCCCAGGAGUGGGGGGCCACCAGCUUGCCUAAUGAUGGGUGAACUGGUCCAGGUCAGAAAUGGAACAAGUCAAAACUACCAUGCUGAUCAGCAGUGGAAUCAUGCCUGUAAAUAGCCACUGCAAUCCCGCCUGGGCAAAUGUAGUGAGACCCCACCUCU
ensembl:misc_RNA Metazoa_SRP Metazoan signal recognition particle RNA